AUGCUUAUAGGGACGGGAAGAACAUGUGUGUUUGUUCAUCAUGGGGACAAAGACGCAUUCUUGAAAGGCAAUAUUGAACCGGACCCGGAUGAGCUUGACAUGGUGUUUGAUAGUAGUCCUAACUAUGCGGAGCUCUUGCAACAAGUGAGGAAAGAUUUGAAUUGGAUGGACCCUAGUGAUAUCGUUGAGUUGGAGGGAAGGCAUAAUGUAGGUUUUGGAAUGCACAUCCGUUGGAAGACAAUGCGUGUCAACUCGGAGCAACGUUGGGUUGCAUACAAGGAAACGGUGGCCGAAUCACUUGACAAGGCUCUUGAGUUAUUUGCAACGAAGAAGGUUGAUUCAAGUUUGCAUUUGGACUUGAACCGGAACCCCUCUUCCCUUUGGUUGAUAGUAGCCCCCCACCCUUGA
rnacentral:rRNA from 1 species